rnacentral:rRNA from 1 species
UACAGAGGGUGCGAGCGUUGUUCGGAAUUACUGGGCGUAAAGCGCGCGCAGGCGGCUUUUUAAGUCCGACGGUGAAAUGCCGGGGCUCAACCCCGUGCCCGCCGCGGAUACUGGGAAGCUGGAGACGAGUAGAGGCAAGCGGAAUUCCGGGUGUAGCGGUGGAAUGCGUAGAGAUCCGGAAGAACACCGGAGGCGAAGGCGGCUUGCUGGGCUCGGUCUGACGCUGAGGCGCGAAAGCGUGGGGAGCGAAUGGG